CUUGGUGACCAUAGCGCAAGUUCAAAACCCGUUCUCAUUCCGAACACGGACGUGAAGCCUUGUAGCGGCGAUGGUACUUUGUCUUAAGGCACGGGAGAGUAGCACAUUGCCAAGU
rnacentral:rRNA from 1 species